rnacentral:rRNA from 2 species
ACGGGUGAGGAAUACAUCGGAAUCUACUUUUUCGUGGGGGAUAACGUAGGGAAACUUACGCUAAUACCGCAUACGACCUACGGGUGAAAGCAGGGGACCUUCGGGCCUUGCGCGAUUGAAUGAGCCGAUGUCGGAUUAGCUAGUUGGCGGGGUAAAGGCCCACCAAGGCGACGAUCCGUAGCUGGUCUGAGAGGAUGAUCAGCCACACUGGAACUGAGACACGGUCCAGACUCCUACGGGAGGCAGCAGUGGGGAAUAUUGGACAAUGGGCGCAAGCCUGAUCCAGCCAUACCGCGUGGGUGAAGAAGGCCUUCGGGUUGUAAAGCCCUUUUGUUGGGAAAGAAAUCCAGCCGGCUAAUACCUGGUUGGGAUGACGGUACCCAAAGAAUAAGCACCGGCUAACUUCGUGCCAGCAGCCGCGGUAAUACGAAGGGUGCAAGCGUUACUCGGAAUUACUGGGCGUAAAGCGUGCGUAGGUGGUUGUUUAAGUCUGUUGUGAAAGCCCUGGGCUCAACCUGGGAACUGCAGUGGAAACUGGACAACUAGAGUGUGGUAGAGGGUAGCGGAAUUCCCGG